UUGUCUAAAAUGACGAAACGUCCGCCUUUUUCCGCCUUGUAAAUCAGCGUGAGGCGGAGGACACCUGCUGCGCCGACGGAAUGCCUCAAACACCAACACGGAACAGCACACAUGCCACACACGAUGUGGGCUACAGGGACUGGGCAACACACACACACAGACAGACAGACAGAAAGACCAACGGAUGGAUGACAGACAUGCAGGCCGACAGCAGGACAGCUGAGGGCUCUCAUUGCAGGAAUGGGAGAAAUGACGAUUUGGCUGCGUGUGAGACGAGGCGGGCCUGGGUGGAUCAAUAACGUCAUCAGGCCCCCUCCAUUAAACAUUUCGUGUCACUGAACUGUGUUCAAAUGUCAUGGCUUCGCAAACUGCUGCGGAUCAAUAUGAGAUUUUAAAAGGCAGACGCAUGCCGUAAAUACAGUGGCAUGUUGAUCUACCCGUUUAAUUCCAUGUGCUGCGACACAUGAAACUAUCCAACAGUUUGAGGCCCCCCAAAUACACAAACGCAAUUUUUUAAAAAAUUAUUACAAAAGUGUUUAAAAAUGUUA